rnacentral:rRNA from 1 species
UACGUAGGGCGCAAGCGUUAUCCGGAAUUAUUGGGCGUAAAGAGCUCGUAGGCGGUUUGUCGCGUCUGCCGUGAAAGUCCGGGGCUCAACUCCGGAUCUGCGGUGGGUACGGGCAGACUAGAGUGAUGUAGGGGAGACUGGAAUUCCUGGUGUAGCGGUGAAAUGCGCAGAUAUCAGGAGGAACACCGAUGGCGAAGGCAGGUCUCUGGGCCGAUACUGACGCUGAGGCACGAAGGUCAGGGGAGCAAACGGG